GCUGCGAAUCCCCCCCCCCCCCCACCAAAAAAAAAAAAAAGACGACGUCAACUUCCCAAGGCUUUUCAGCGUCAAGAAAGAGGAGUUUGAAGGGAAAGUUCAAGUCUGGGUGGCCAAAAGUUACAUUUCAGUGAUCUGGUUACCGCCUCUCUCUGCAAACCCAAAGGAUCACUUUCCUCAGCGGAUCUACCCCAAUCAUCAUUAAUGGGACCACAGUGGAGAGAGUGAGCAUCUUCAAAUACCUUCAAAUGCCCUACAAAGAGUAGCUGAGCACAUGUCCAGAACAUCUCUCCCCUCUCUGCAAGACAUCCAUACCAGGAGAUGUAAAUCUAGGGCUGUUAAGAUCCUUAAAUACCCCACCAACCCAUCUGCUACAGUCAGGCAGACCCUUCUGCAGUCUGAUGGCAAAGACGGAGAGGCUCAGGAGGAGUUUCUUCCCUCAUGUUAUCAGACUACUAAACAUGGACAUUAAACACACUUCACUUUAUAGACUGGUUGUUUAGGGCUACAAUAACUCUCUGCA